rnacentral:lncRNA from 1 species
GUAGAUACCAUACUCAUUCAGAGUCACAAAGAACUUGUUACAUAUUUGAUGAUGUCACAAGUAUCUAACUUGUUUAGUGUGCAGAAGCAAAUAUCAGAGUUUAGCUGGAAAUCAGAGUUUAACGACUGCCAGCUGGAUCAGAGUUUAUCAAUGAUCAGAGUUUGCAGGCGGCUGAUUUUCAGGAGCAGAUCUGGAUAAACAAGGAAGAUCAAGAUCAAGGAAGAUUGUGCAAAUCAGGACAGCAGAAGGAUAGCUACUGAUUAGAUUAUUUUAGGAAGCAGAUAAUUAUGAAUCAAUCAGUAGAUAUCAUGUAACUGUGUAUAUAAACACAGAUUAGGGUUUACUCUAUAAGAGUAAGAAUAUCGAGAAUAUUAUUCUUGUAACCUAGCAGCUCUUAGUGAUAAGUUAUAAAUCACUAAGAGAGUUUUUGUAACCUCCUGAGUUUUGUGAAUAAGAGUUUACUUUGUUGAAUCUCUUGUUUGAGUAUUUUGUUAUUGAUUGUGUUCACUAUAUUAAUUAAUAUAGUGAUUAAAUUCGGC